GGUUUAAUCAUUUGAUUUUCCUUGAUUUUAUUAUAUUGUUGUUUAUUAUUAAUCUCAUCGGUAUAAUAAAAUCGAGAACAAUCAUUUUGAUGCUCAUC
rnacentral:miRNA from 1 species